rnacentral:rRNA from 1 species
UACGUAGGGUGCAAGCGUUAAUCGGAAUUACUGGGCGUAAAGCGUGCGCAGGCGGUUCGCUAAGACCGAUGUGAAAUCCCCGGGCUUAACCUGGGAAUGGCAUUGGUGACUGCACGGCUAGAGUGUGUCAGAGGGGGGUAGAAUUCCACGUGUAGCAGUGAAAUGCGUAGAGAUGUGGAGGAAUACCGAUGGCGAAGGCAGCCCCCUGGGAUAACACUGACGCUCAUGCACGAAAGCGUGGGGAGCAAACAGG